rnacentral:rRNA from 1 species
CAGUAGCCACGGUAAUACGUAGGGUGCAAGCGUUAAUCGGAAUUACUGGGCGUAAAGCGUGCGCAGGCGGUUUGUUAAGACAGAUGUGAAAUCCCCGGGCUCAACCUGGGAACUGCAUUUGUGACUGGCAGGCUAGAGUAUGGCAGAGGGGGGAGGAAUUCCGCGUGUAGCAGUGAAAUGCGUAGAUAUGCGGAGGAACACCGGUGGCGAAGGCAAUCACCUGGACCUGUACUGACGCUCAUGCACGAAAGCGUGGGGAGCAAACAGGAUUAGAUACCCCCGUAGUCCCUGUCUCUUAUAA